GACGAACGCUGGCGGCGUGCUUAACACAUGCAAGUCGAACGGUGAAGCGCCUUCCUUUUUGGUGGGUGUGGAUGAGUGGCGAACGGGUGAGUAACACGUGAGUAACCUGCCCCCUUCUUCUGGAUAACCGCAUGAAAGUGUGGCUAAUACGGGAUAUUCUGGGUCUGUCGCAUGAUGGGUCUGGGAAAGAUAUUGUUUCGGUGGGGGAUGGGCUCGCGGCCUAUCAGCUUGUUGGUGGGGUGAUGGCCUACCAAGGCGGUGACGGGUAGCCGGCCUGAGAGGGUGGACGGUCACACUGGGACUGAGACACGGCCCAGACUCCUACGGGAGGCAGCAGUGGGGAAUAUUGCACAAUGGGCGCAAGCCUGAUGCAGCGACGCCGCGUGAGGGAUGGAGGCCUUCGGGUUGUGAACCUCUUUCGCCAGUGAAGCAGGCCUGCCUCGUUUGUGGGUGGGUUGACGGUAGCUGGAUAGGAAGCGCCGGCUAGCUACGUG
rnacentral:rRNA from 1 species